rnacentral:rRNA from 1 species
UACGUAGGGAGCAAGCGUUGUCCGGAAUGACUGGGCGUAAAGGGAGUGUAGGCGGCCUUGCAAGUUAGAUGUGAAAUCCUACGGCUUAACCGUAGAACUGCAUCUAAAACUGUGAGGCUGGAGUGCAGGAGAGGUGAGUGGAAUUCCUAGUGUAGCGGUGGAAUGCGUAGAUAUUAGGAGGAACAUCAGUGGCGAAGGCGACUUUCUGGACUGUAACUGACGCUGAGGCACGAAAGUGUGGGGAGCAAACAGG